rnacentral:snoRNA from 1 species
CGGUUGAUAAUGAGAACUCAUAUUGGCAUAGAGAUGAUGACCUAAAAACCAGUGGGAUUAUACUAAGGCCA